rnacentral:rRNA from 1 species
UACAGAGACUGCAAGCGUUAUUCGGAUUCACUGGGCGUAAAGGGUGCGCAGGCGGCCAAGUGUGUUAGGCGUGAAAGCCCGGGGCUUAACCCCGGAAUUGCACCUAAACUACAUAACUAAAGCAUUGGAGAGGGUAGCGGAAUUCACGGUGUAGCAGUGAAAUGCGUAGAUAUCGUGAGGAACACCAGAGGCGAAGGCGGCUACCUGGACAAUUGCUGACGCUCAGGCACGAAAGCGUAAAAAGCAAAAGGG